UAAAGACCCUUUGGGGGUCGCCCGUCCGCCUCGGGUCGGGGCGGUCGGGCCCGUGGGGAGGGUCAGUCCCCUCCUCCAGACUCCGCCGCCUCGGUCCCCGCCACCCCGUGGGGUGUGCGGGGGGGGUCGCCACGCCACGUGCCCGGUCCACGCGGCCGCCGGGAGGGGGCUCGCCCCCUGCCCGGUGGCAGUCGUGCCGCGUCCGUGUGCGCGUGCGCCCGCCCCCCCCCCAGCGUCCCCGGUGUGGCGUGGGGCGGGGCAGGUGGGAACCCCCUGGGCGCCUGUGGGGUUGUCCUCGCUCGCCCCCCGCGCCCGCGCGUGCGCGGCGGGGGCGGCGGCCGGACGCCCCGUCGUUCGUCCGACCCUUCCGACCUUCUCGGAGUCUGAUCUCGUGGUCUCUGCUGGCCGGCCAGAGGCGCCCUCCGGGGAUGUGCCGUGCCAGGGAGGGGGGCUCUCCCCUCCGCUCGAAACUCGUACGACUCUUAGCGGUGGAUCACUCGGCUCGUGCGUCGAUGAAGAACGCAGCUAGCUGCGAGAAUUAAUGUGAAUUGCAGGACACAUUGAUCAUCGACACUUCGAACGCACUUGCGGCCCCGGGUUCCUCCCGGGGCUACGCCUGUCUGAGCGUCGCUUGGCGAUCAAUCGCCGCCCCUGGUGGCGGCGCGGCUGGGGGUUCCCUCGCAGGGCCCGGUCUGCCGGGCCCUCCGUCCCCCUAAGAGCAGACGCGGUGCCCGCCCGCGAGAAAAGGAGAGAGGCGAGAGCUCGCGCCGAGGAGGGCCGCGGCGGCUGCCGCCGCCGCCGCGGUCCCCUCUUGGGGAGAUCCCUCGCGCCGCACGCGGCCACGGGGUCGCCCGGGUCGUGCGUCUGGGGCGGAGGAGCGGGGGUGUGUGGUUGCGGUCCCGCGCCGCCCCUCCGCUCCCCUCCCCUCGCCCUUCCCCGCUGGCGACCCCCGGCCUUCGCCCUGUCGGGGCGGCUCGCGCCGGGCCGCGCCCCGGGGCUGCGUGCCCCGGCGGCGGCCCGCGGGACGCCGCGGCGCCGCCCGCCGCUGCGCGCUUCCGCCCCCCCCCGGGUCGCGGCCGCGCCGCGCCGUUGCUCCCCCGGAGCCCGCGGUUGGGUCGCGUCGGGGUCGAGGCGGGCGGAGGGUCGCGGCCGUGGGAGGGACGUCGCGCGCGAGGAAGAGGGAGGCGUGGGGGCCGGGUCGUCGCGCGGGGCGGCGGGCGAGGGCGUCGCGGGCCGGCGGUCGGGGGCGACCGCCGCGACCCGACGACGUCCCGCCGCCCGCCCGCCCGCCGGCCGGCGCCCGCGCCCCCCCUCUCCCCUCCCACGCGGCGCCCGCGCCCCGGCUGCCCCCUCCGUCUGCGCGGCUCCCCC
rnacentral:lncRNA from 12 species